rnacentral:rRNA from 1 species
AUUGAACGCUGGCGGCAUGCUUUACACAUGCAAGUCGAACGGUAACAGGUUAAGCUGACGAGUGGCGAACGGGUGAGUAAUGCAUCGGAACGUGCCCGGUCGUGGGGGAUAACGCAGCGAAAGCUGCGCUAAUACCGCAUACGAUCUGAGGAUGAAAGCGGGGGACCGUAAGGCCUCGCGCGAUCGGAGCGGCCGAUGUCAGAUUAGGUAGUUGGUGGGGUAAAGGCCUACCAAGCCGACGAUCUGUAGCUGGUCUGAGAGGACGACCAGCCACACUGGGACUGAGACACGGCCCAGACUCCUACGGGAGGCAGCAGUGGGGAAUUUUGGACAAGGGGCGCAAGCCUGAUCCAGCAAUGCCGCGUGCAGGAAGAAGGCCUUCGGGUUGUAAACUGCUUUUGUACGGAGCGAAAAGGCUCUCUCUAAUACAGGGGGUUCAUGACGGUACCGUAAGAAUAAGCACCGGCUAACUACGUGCCAGCCGCCGCGGUAAGAC